GGAUUGCCCUAGUAACGGCGAGUGAAGCGGCAACAGCUCAAAUUUGAAAUCUGGCUCUUUCAGAGUCCGAGUUGUAAUUUGCAGAGGGCGCUUUGGCGUUGGCAGCGGUCCAAGUUCCUUGGAACAGGACGUCACAGAGGGUGAGAAUCCCGUACGUGGUCGCUGGCCUUCGCCGUGUAAAGCCCCUUCGACGAGUCGAGUUGUUUGGGAAUGCAGCUCUAAAUGGGAGGUAAAUUUCUUCUAAAGCUAAAUACUGGCCAGAGACCGAUAGCGCACAAGUAGAGUGAUCGAAAGAUGAAAAGCACUUUGGAAAGAGAGUCAAAUAGCACGUGAAAUUGUUGAAAGGGAAGCGCUUGCAGCCAGACUUGCCUGUAGUUGCUCAUCCGGGCUUUUGCCCGGUGCACUCUUCUGUAGGCAGGCCAGCAUCAGUUUGGACGGUUGGAUAAAGGACUCUGUCACGUACCUCCUCUCGGGGAGGCCUUAUAGGGGAGUCGUCAUGCAACCAGUCUGGACUGAGGUCCGCGCAUCUGCUAGGAUGCUGGCGUAAUGGCUGUAAGCGGCCCGUCUUGAAACACGGACCAAGGAGUCUAACAUCUAUGCGAGUGUUUGGGUGUCAAGCCCGAGCGCGCAAUGAAAGUGAACGGAGGUGGGACCCCGUAAGGGUGCACCAUCGACCGAUCCUGAUGUCUUCGGAUGGAUUUGAGUAAGAGCAUGGCUGUUGGGACCCGAAAGAUGGUGAACUAUGCUUGAAUAGGGUGAAGCCAGAGGAAACUCUGGUGGAGGCUCGCAGCGGUUCUGACGUGCAAAUCGAUCGUCAAAUUUGGGCAUAGGGGCGAAAGACUAAUCGAACUAUCUAGUAGCUGGUUCCUG
rnacentral:rRNA from 1 species